rnacentral:rRNA from 1 species
GAUGAACGCUGGCGGCGUGCUUAACACAUGCAAGUCGAACGAUGAAGCCCAGCUUGCUGGGUGGAUUAGUGGCGAACGGGUGAGUAACACGUGAGUAACCUGCCCUUAACUCUGGGAUAAGCCUGGGAAACUGGGUCUAAUGCCGGAUAGGAGCGUCCACCGCAUGGUGGGUGUUGGAAAGAUUUAUCGGUUUUGGAUGGACUCGCGGCCUAUCAGCUUGUUGGUGAGGUAAUGGCUCACCAAGGCGACGACGGGUAGCCGGCCUGAGAGGGUGACCGGCAACACGGGGACUGAGACACGGCCCAGACUCCUACGGGAGGCAGCAGUGGGGAAUAUUGCACAAUGGGCGCAAGCCUGAUGCAGCGACGCCGCGUGAGGGAUGACGGCCUUCGGGUGGUAAACCUCUUUCAGUGGGGAAGAAGCGAAAGGGACGGUACCUGCAGAAGAAGCACCGGCUAACUACGU